GGGGAAUUUUCCGCAAUGGGCGCAAGCCUGACGGAGCAAGACCGCGUGGGGGAUGAAGGUUUGUGGAUUGUAAACCCCUUUUGUCAGGGAAGAACACAAUGACGGUACCUGACGAAUCAGCAUCGGCUAACUCCGUGCCAGCAGCCGCGGUAAUACGGAGGAUGCAAGCGUUAUCCGGAAUUAUUGGGCGUAAAGCGUCCGCAGGUGGUGAUUCAAGUCUAUUGUCAAAGUGCGAGGCUUAACUUCGUAAAGGCAGUGGAAACUGGAUGACUGGAGUGCGGUAGGGGCAGAGGGAAUUCCCAGUGUAGCGGUGAAAUGCGUAGAUAUUGGGAAGAACACCGGUGGCGAAAGCGCUCUGCUGGACCUGCACUGACACUGAGGGACGAAAGCUAGGGGAGCGAAAGGGAUUAGAUACCCCUG
rnacentral:rRNA from 1 species